AUUGAUAGAUACAGUUGAUGCAGACUGUGAAAUUCCAAGUUGUGAUUGCAGGCAUUCUGCAAAAACUAACCUUUGGCAUACUUGGCUUCAGCCAACCUCUUUCUAGUAAAUUCCCCACUGGUUCUUGGCUUUUCUUGUGGAAUUAACACAUUUACAAAGUUUUCUUCAUUGGUAUUCCUGGUGUGCGGGCCUGAAUAUCUUUCACCCCUUGACUUGUGGGAUCGUUUUGUUUGUCUUUAGUUCACCGUUUUAAUAAGAGAGAAGCCAGCAGCCACAUCAGUUCUGGGAAGAACGGAAGCGGGUCUCUUGCGGAGAGACCCCAGGUUAUUCAGACUGCUGUUGGGUCUCCUGUAGUAGGCAGUGGAUUUCCAUUUUGCUCAUUGAUGUAAAUGCCCCUGAGGGGUUGGCCAGGAAACUGAAUGCCUGCUCCCCCUGGUGGCUGAAAACAGCAGUCACAGUCUCCAUUGGGGAAGCCAAGGGAGAUUUGAGUGUAAAAACCCAGUUUGAAAUUGUUGUGUCUUAGAGGUAAAGUAAGUAAAUAAUGGAGAUAACGGCUCACAUGCUGAGGCUGUUUCCUGUGUUUUUAUUGUGGGUGUUAGGAACAAUUUCGGCUCUCUGUGGGAGGCGGUUGGUUUCCUAACUUAAUCAGUUGGCUGAGAAAGUGCUUUACAGAUGAUUGUUCUAUGUGAGCAGAGAAAGUGGGGUUUUGAGGAAGAGCCAGUCUGAGUGGAGAUGGUCUCGUCCUGAUGACUGAGCUCCUGGUACAGCGGUUUUGAUGACAGAAGGUCUGCUUUCUCGGGUAGUGGAAUAGACCCUUGUUUCCUAAGUGCCCUCCCUUCCCGAAGUUCAGGCUGGGUUUGGGGUCAGACAAGGAUGACGCAAAGGGGUCCUAGUCCAGAGAUGGGAGGAGAACGAAUGGGCAGGACCCUGGGAGUUCCUGCCAAGAGUCACAGGUCACAUCCCUCUUUCAGGAAGGGGGGGUGGUUCUUUGCAUGUGGUUUGAAGUAGUGAGGGGAGGGCUUGUGCGGUCUGAAGGCUUUGAGGAAACUUCAGAUUUAAGCAAGGUGGAAAGACAAGGAUGAAGGGCAUUCCAGAAGGUCCCAGAACAGCCCAGGAAAUUGGCUGUUGAGAGGUAGGGGAUGUGAGGAGAGGCUUUUCGAGACUCAGCACUGGUCUAGUACUUUCCUUCAGGCAUAUUUUACUGUUUACUUGACUCCCUCGAAAUGUGCAACCCCAAACUGAACGUGUUAACCCUCAAGAAACCCAGCAGGGGCUGUGCGCACCGGCUGACAGGUUUCACCGCUAAAAAUGGAAUCAUAGCCUGAUUUUCCUAAUUCACAGGGGGGCGGGGGGAACGACAAAAAAAAAUUAAGAAAUGGAUGAGAUUUUUUUUUUUUUAAUUUAAAGAAUUUCUCCCAUGUUCCUUUCCUUAUAUGUUUGGAACUCACUGUUACAUGUUUGUGUUAGAUUUAAGGUGAAUAUGAUGUCUGAUCUGGCAGAAGCAUAAUUAAGUACGAACAAUAUUUAGUGGCUUUCAAGAAAAAAGCAGAGAGCACAGUUCCUUGGUCAUGCAGCAGGUUAAGGAUCUAGCCUUUUCACUGCUGUGGCGUGGGUUUGAUCCCUGGCCAGGGCACUUCCAUAUGCUGCAGGCACGGCCAAAAAAAAAAUACAUCCAAUGUGAGUCAUGGGCCACGUGAUAAUGUGGCUUUACUUGUUACAGCAAGAAAUCAGAUAACCCAACUCCAUGUAAUAAGGCUCAACCCAUCUAAAGGACCAUAGAGACAGGUGAGUUCUGUUUGUGAUUAAGCAGGGCCUGGGGGGCCUCCUGGGCCCAGAAACCCUUGCAAGAGCAGGAAGAGGGCAGAGGGAGGGAGCAGUGCUCUGAGGUGCUGGGUGGAGAAUAGAGGUGCCAGUGGGUACCUGGGGUGGGGCUGAUUAGUUAGCUGGGAAAGGCCCUGAAGAGCCCCUGUCCUUCACUCUGAUUUUCUUGUCUCUGGUGGGUGGUCCUUUUCACUUUCUUGGCUUCUGGCAUUUUCUUUUCUUUUUUUUUUAAAUUUUAUUAUUUGUUAUUAUAGUUGAUAUUCAAUGUUCUAUACAGCAAAGUGACCCUGUUACACAUAUAUACAUAUAUGUAUAUAUACACAUUCUUUUUCUCAUAAUAUCUUCCAUCAUGUUCCAUCUCAAGUGAUUGGAUAUAGUGCCCUGUGCAAUACAGCAGGACUUCAUUGCUUAUCCACUUCAAAGGCAAUAGUUUGCAUCUACUGGCUUCUGGUGUUUUCUAGUUCAGUGGUGCUGGUUUCCCCUGUUGUAUUUCAAUUUUAUUUCAUUAAAUAAAUAGGAUCGCAAAGUUGAUUUCAUAGCCAAGGAUUGUAUGACUUGUGUUUUGAAGAACCCAGGGCAGAUGAGCUCGUAAAGCGAUGCUGUGGCGUUGCUUGCAAGAGCCCCCUCUCUCCCUGUCAUCUUCCUGAAGUUCUUCAGAAAGAACAAGUGGUAGAGUUAGAACCAGCGGGCAGGCAUCACCACUAGCAGCACCACCAUUGCCAUUGAGGUGUUGAUGACAGGUGUUUGGUGCCCGAGGGGCAGCGCAGGGUGUGGGCCUGGGGAAAGGUGCUCCAAGCUGAGCCUUUAGCAUGUGCACAGGUGCACACUUGUGAUACUUUCCUGGCCUGGAAAACAAGCCAUUUUAUUUAGUUUGUGGAUAAAUUACUAAAGAAUGUGUAAAUUAAGCACCUUCACCUGUCCCUUCUCACUCCUUGGCUGAGGGACUAGACUGGGCACCAUGUGGCUGACACAGCAGGAUGCCAGGGUUCCUGUAUGACCUUGUCCACAGGGGUGAAGAGUCAUGGUUGACCAGGUCCACUGGUUCUCUGCACGUUCUUCUGAGCCCUCAGUGCUCUGCCUUUCACCGGCCUGAUGGAGCUCUUAAAGCUGAAGUGCUCCUGGUACUUACUGCCCUUCACUUAGGAUUCUUGGCCCCUUAAUAACUCGAAUUCAGCUUGUGUUAUUCUGUUUGAAAGGCAAGAGGUUGUGUUCCUUAAAUGACUGCAGAUUUUCUAGAGUGAGCUGGGAGGACAGGGUAACAGAUUCCUGAUUGUCUCUCCCCCUCUGAACUGGAGACCUUCAGUUAUAUUUCUCUCAGUACCCUUGGUUGUUUAUUUGGGGGACAGAAUCCUUAAUGUACUGUAACUUUGUCUGGAAGACAUGGGGAGAACUGGGCUGAUAGCUUCAGAGGAUAAUCCAUUCUGCCAUUUUUUUUUUUUUUUCUUUUUCUGACUGCACCUGUGGCAUGUGGAUGUUCCCAGACCAGGGGUCGAAUCAGAGCUGCAGCUGAGGCCUAGGCCAGAGCCACAGCAACACCAGAUCCUUACCCCACUGAGCAAGGCCAGGGAUUGAACUUGAAUCCUCACAGAGACAGCAUUGGGUCCUUACCCUGCUGAGCCACAACGGGAACUCCUAUCAAUUUUAGAAUCAGAAAAAAAUCUAUUUAAAGCAGUGAAUAUUUGCUUUUAAAAAUAUCAAAUAAAAAAAAAUGCAAAGUGGAAAGUGAAAACCCCUCUCCCGGAUGGUGAUUAGGAACAGAUCAAGGGUCAAGGGUGUCUUUUGUCUGCAUUACUUGACAAUAAAGUCACUCUACUUUCUGGUUGAGCCCUAUAUAUAGAUCUGGCUGAGUGGGGACAUCUGUGUCUGAAGAGCUCGGCUUCAGAACAGCUGUGUUCACACAUCUGCUUCUUUGCUAACAUCUAGAAGUAGGGGAUCCCAUAAAAUGAUAUAGAUUCCACUACCCACCCCAAGAGUAAUGUGCUGCUGAAGCCAAGUUUGGGAUGGAAGGAAUGGAGUGGGCUGAAUUAAAAGUCAGGGAUUUGUAGGGGUUCCUGCUGUGGCACAUUGGGCUAAGGAUCUGGUGUUGUCUCUGCACCAGCUCGGGUUCGGAGUCCCAGCCUGGUGCAGUGGGUUAAGGAUCCAGCAGUGCUGCAGCUGUGGCAUAGGGCAUAGCUAUGGCUCAGAUUCCAUCCCUGGCCUGGAAACUUCCAUGUGCCAGGGGUGCAGUUGGGUCUUCGUUGAUGGUUAGGGCCCCUUGAGCUGGGGAGUUUUCUGGAAGGUAUCGGUGCCAUCGCCUUUAUUGUACUGGAAGAGGGCAAGAGCAGAUAGAGGCAGGGACCCAAGUUAGGAGUUGUCUGGAUCAUCCAGGUGAGAGAUGUUGGUGGCCUGGACCAGGACUGGAGGGAGCUCCCAGAAGGUGGAGGAGGUGAUGAGGUACCUACACCUGGUCUCAGAGGGCUUCUGUCUAGUUAAGAACAUAGCCUUGAGCACGCAGUCCCAUAGCGGGUUCUGCACAUGAAGUGUGAAGGAUGAAAAUUUAGUUGCAAAGAUCAAGGAACCUCUCAAGUUGGGGUGGGUGAGUUUCUUCAUUUGAUUGUAAUUCCCAAGGCUUAUAAAAGCCCGCUGUUUGCCCUACAAAGGACCACAAGCACAAGGAAAUACACACUAUGUUCCCUCGUCAUAUUACAAAAAUGCAGAUUGGUGCUGCAUGCAGCAAAAAUUCCAAUCGGAUUGGUUCCUUUGUAGGAUAAUCAAUGGAAUCUUUUGUCUAUUUCUGAGCACAGGAUUCCUUUCCCCUGAGUGGUGGAUUUGGAGUGUUUUUCUCAGAGGAGGAAUGCCUCCCUCGUGUAAUCCAUCCAUCUCCCCCUUUGCAGCGGAGUUCUGAUGAAUGAAUCCUUUGUGCAGCCCUCAGCCGCCUGCUUGUCUCUGCUGGAGAUGAAACAGGUGCAGUCGCCUUUGCUCCAACUCAUCAACUGUUGUCUGAGAUUAUUGGAGGGCUGCAAGGAAGCCUUCAGGGUUUCAUUAUGCUCCAGACGGCUGUCAACCAGUGAGCCAUGAUUCCGACGAGAGAGCUGUGGGGAAGAACAUGGUUUUGGUUGGCAGACCUGGUUUGGUUGAGAUCCAGCAUCCCACCAUGAGCUGUCUUUAGGCACGUUGUCUCCCUGCUCCGGGCCUCGGAUUCAUCUCAUGUAUUAAGAAGACAGUGACACUUUCUGGAUGUGUCCUAUCUCCUGUCUCCAAUGAAAAGCUGAUUCUUUGGUUGCUGGUCAAGUGCAGAUAAAAGAUGAUCAGGGCUGUCACUUUACAGGAGAUUUCACAGUAUGGGGUAUGUGUGUGUGUGUGUGUGUGUGUGUGUGUGUGUGUGUGUGUGCGCGCGCGCGCGCGCUUGGCCAUGGCAUUCGGAAGUUCCUGGGCCAGGAAUUGAACCUGUGCUACAGCAGUGCCAAAUAAACACUUAACAGCAGUGUUGCAAAAUCCUUCACUGCUAGGCCACUGGAACUCUUCAGAAUGUUUUAAAAGCACCUUUUUAUUGUCUUUUAGCCGUGAGGCUAGGACAGAAAAAAAUAUAAAUUAUUCAGAUUAGAGAAAACACGCUCUUAAACAGUAUUCUCAUGGAGAGGCAAGUAUGGUUUGGAGGAUGGGAUGCAAUAAGUAAUCUUGAAUUAGAGAAUAAAAUAAAAUUCCUCUACUGUGUCAGAGUGAGGUGGAAACGAGGCAAAAGAUUGCCCUUUUGCUGGAAAGAGCCCAGCUAGAGUCUUUAC
rnacentral:lncRNA from 1 species